GACGAACGCUGGCGGCGUGCUUAACACAUGCAAGUCGAGCGAAUGGAUUAAGAGCUUGCUCUUAUGAAGUUAGCGGCGGACGGGUGAGUAACACGUGGGUAAUCUGCCCAUAAGACUGGGAUAACUCCGGGAAACCGGGGCUAAUACCGGAUAAUAUUUUGAACUGCAUGGUUCAAAAUUGAAAGGCGGCUUCGGCUGUCACUUAUGGAUGGACCCGCGUCGCAUUAGCUAGUUGGUGAGGUAACGGCUCACCAAGGCAACGAUGCGUAGCCGACCUGGGAGGGUGGUCGGCCACACUGGGACUGAGACACGGCCCAGACUCCUACGGGAGGCAGCAGUAGGGAAUCUUCCGCAAUGGACGAAAGUCUGACGGAGCAACGCCGCGUGAGUGAUGAAGGCUUUCGGGUCGUAAAACUCUGUUGUUAGGGAAGAACAAGUGCUAGUUGAAUAAGCUGGCACCUUGACGGUACCUAACCAGAAAGCCACGGCUAACUACGUGCCAGCCGCCGCCGUAA
rnacentral:rRNA from 1 species